rnacentral:lncRNA from 1 species
CUGUGGAUAGGCUAUAUCACAGGGAGAAUGCCAGAGCCUGGCUCAACGGAAGUGUGGAGAGUUCUCCUAAAAGCAGCCAGUCUCUGAUGACUUAGAAGCCGUUUGACCUGAUAUGUCCCCAAAGUUGUGUGGCUCCUCCAUUGAGUGUGUCAGAGGGCCCCUUGGAGAACGCUGUGUUUCACAUACAUUCAGACACCACUGUGUUCCAUGGACCCACUGCAGAGUCCUGUGGUAUGCACUGCAGCUCUUGAUUUAACCAACUGCCACCACCUGGGAUGGACAGAUCGGUACAGACACCCUGAGGGUCCUCGGGCACACAACGCAUGAGUAGAAGGAAAAGAUAACACCUUCAAGUCACCCCAUUUCCAGAGAGAUUUCCAAAACCAGUUUCAGGGAUCCUUCCCAUGCCAGGCUGUUGGUGGCAGCCUCUCCUGGAGUGAUGAGCCACAAUGUAAACCAGAGCCAGGGGCCAGUGUACUGGAGAUAUAUUUCUCCUAUCUACUUGUGCUGAACAAGAUUGGGGUCUCUCUUCAGAAGAGGGGAACUCCUCUUUUCUUUUCCAGGGUCCAAGUCAGAGUUGGUAAUCACACCUCCAGAAGGGAGAGGCAAGUCUAGAGGUGCCAGCCUGGCCAGGGAGGCCGGGAAGUGGAGAGAUGGGCAUGAGAGCCGUGCAGCCGUGGAAGGUGAGGGCAGCACCCAUCCCCAAGGAUGAGGCUACAUGCAAGAGGCAUCUCCGAAAGAGACCAGCUUCUGUACACCUCAAGACAAUUAUGGGAAGUUAUGUUCUGCUACCCCCAAAAUGACAUCUGGAAUGACCAGCUGUGGGGGAUACUGGGAAACGUCUAGUACUGCGUGUUUGUGUUCGUCUCAUACACAUGGAGAUGUGAAGCCAAGAUAUCUUGAUAUCAGUGGAUGCCAAGAGGUAACCAGUACAGGAAUCCAUGCAUUGGCAAGAAGCUGCCACCAGCUCAAGUGCCUGGACCUAAGCUCUACAGGAAUAAGCAAAAGAUGGUAGGAAUUUUGCAGAUUAUCCUUUUUUAUCCAGCAACUUUAAGAAAAUGAAUCA